CCCCCACACCCGUGCCCCUGCCCUUUGGCAGCUCCAGGCCACAGCCUGGCCCGCACCGCUGCCCUUGCAGCUGCCCCCGGGGCUGGAAGUGGAGACCUGGGGCUGUAGUGCUGGGGAGGGCGGGUCCCCGGGUCUGGGGUCUGAAGCCCCUCUCUCCAUCUGGCUGUUUUCCCCCCCCGCGUCCGGAACCCCAGGGCCCCUCCCCUCGCCCUUCUGGCGAGCCCGGUUGGCGACCCCCACACCGGCCACACUCUCCAUCCCCGGUGCUCCCACCACGCCUCCUCCAAGAGGGCCACGGAUCUCUCCAGGCCUUGCCAUUUGCCCACACGCCCUCUCCACUCUUCUGGCCAGCCCCCUCCGGCCUCUGGCAAGGCCCUCUCUACAGGAACCCCCGUCCAGGGCCCAGUCCUCACUCCUCUCCUUGGGUACUGCUGGCCAGGAGGGCUGCUGGGACCUUUCAGGGUAGGGCGGCAGCCUCCCUCCCCUGUCCCCAGGCCUCUCCCUCCUCCCGUGGUUUCCUCUGCCUGGUGGCUGGAUUCAGGCCACUUGAUCUCUUUCUCAGGCCACUUCUCAAUCUGUUUAACUGCCCGUGUCCCCCCACCCCCAAGCCUGGCUUGUUCCUGCACCCAACAGCACCCUAAGUGCAAGAGGCAGGGGUGUUGGGGACCCCGAGAAGCGGGGCCAUGGGUCCUGGCUGCUGCUGGGGGCAGAGGGCCCAGGUCUGCAGCCCCCAGACCCAAAUAGGUUCCGAGAGGCUCCAGUACUGCUGCAUGGCUGAAGAUUGGUGGACAGAAACAGGAAAGGAGGUACAGAAGACGGAGGCAAAGCCCAGAAACCACCGCAGGGGCUGCAGCUCGACACUUGCCUUAUCUGAACACGGUUUGAAUGACCGGCACCCUCAAUGCGCGGAAACCCGGGUGUUGCUCUGUCACCCAGGCUGGAGUGCAGUGGUGCCAUCACAGC